rnacentral:sRNA from 1 species
GCUGGGCAAGGUGGCACACACCUGUAAUCCCAGCGGCUUGGGAGGCUGAGGCAGGAGGAUCAUGAGUUCAAAGCUUUGCUUAGCAUAAGUGAGGCACUAAGCAACUCAAUGAGACCCUGUCUCUA